rnacentral:rRNA from 1 species
AGUCGAACGAUGAACUGGAGCUUGCUCCAGGGAUUAGUGGCGAACGGGUGAGUAACACGUGAGUAACCUGCCCUUGACUCUGGGAUAAGCGCUGGAAACGGCGUCUAAUACCGGAUACGAGCUUCAGCCGCAUGGCUAGGAGUUGGAAAGAAUUUCGGUCAAGGAUGGACUCGCGGCCUAUCAGCUAGUUGGUGAGGUAAUGGCUCACCAAGGCGACGACGGGUAGCCGGCCUGAGAGGGUGACCGGCCACACUGGGACUGAGACACGGCCCAGACUCCUACGGGAGGCAGCAGUGGGGAAUAUUGCACAAUGGGCGAAAGCCUGAUGCAGCAACGCCGCGUGAGGGAUGACGGCCUUCGGGUUGUAAACCUCUUUUAGUAGGGAAGAAGCGAAAGUGACGGUACCUGCAGAAAAAGCACCGGCUAACUACGUGCCAGCAGCCGCGGUAAUACGUAGGGUGCAAGCGUUGUCCGGAAUUAUUGGGCGUAAAGAGCUCGUAGGCGGUUUGUCGCGUCUGCUGUGAAAUCUGGGGGCUCAACCCCCAGCCUGCAGUGGGUACGGGCAGACUAGAGUGCGGUAGGGGAGAUUGGAAUUCCUGGUGUAGCGGUGGAAUGCGCAGAUAUCAGGAGGAACACCGAUGGCGAAGGCAGAUCUCUGGGCCGUAACUGACGCUGAGGAGCGAAAGCAUGGGGAGCGAACAGGAUUAGAUACCCUGGUAGUCCAUGCCGUAAACGUUGGGAACUAGAUGUGGGGGCCAUUCCACGGUCUCCGUGUCGCAGCUAACGCAUUAAGUUCCCCGCCUGGGGAGUACGGCCGCAAGGCUAAAACUCAAAGGAAUUGACGGGGGCCCGCACAAGCGGCGGAGCAUGCGGAUUAAUUCGAUGCAACGCGAAGAACCUUACCAAGGCUUGACAUAUACCGGAAACGUCCAGAGAUGGUCGCCCCGCAAGGUCGGUAUACAGGUGGUGCAUGG